AUUGAACGCUGGCGGCAUGCCUUACACAUGCAAGUCGAACGGUAACAGGUCUUCGGAUGCUGACGAGUGGCGAACGGGUGAGUAAUACAUCGGAACGUGCCCGAUCGUGGGGGAUAACGAGGCGAAAGCUUUGCUAAUACCGCAUACGAUCUACGGAUGAAAGCGGGGGAUCUUCGGACCUCGCGCGGACGGAGCGGCCGAUGGCAGAUUAGGUAGUUGGUGGGAUAAAAGCUUACCAAGCCGACGAUCUGUAGCUGGUCUGAGAGGAUGAUCAGCCACACGGGGACUGAGACACGGCCCAGACUCCUACGGGAGGCAGCAGUGGGGAAUUUUGGACAAUGGGCGAAAGCCUGAUCCAGCCAUGCCGCGUGCAGGAUGAAGGCCUUCGGGUUGUAAACUGCGUUUGUACGGAACGAAAAGCCUCUUUCUAAUAAAGAGGGGUCAUGACGGUACCGUAAGAAUAAGCACCGGCUAACUACGUG
rnacentral:rRNA from 1 species